rnacentral:rRNA from 1 species
AGUGAACGCUGGCGGUAGGCCUAACACAUGCAAGUCGAACGGCAGCACAGUAAGAGCUUGCUCUUACGGGUGGCGAGUGGCGGACGGGUGAGGAAUACAUCGGAAUCUACUUUUUCGUGGGGGAUAACGUAGGGAAACUUACGCUAAUACCGCAUACGACCUACGGGUGAAAGCAGGGGAUCUUCGUACCUUGCGCGAUUGAAUUAGCCGAUGUCGGAUUAGCUAGUUGGCGGGGUAAAGGCCCACCAAGGCGACGAUCCGUAGCUGGUCUGAGAGGAUGAUCAGCCACACUGGAACUGAGACACGGUCAAGACUCCUACGGGAGGCAGCAGUGGGGAAUAUUGGACAAUGGGCGCAAGCCUGAUCCAGCCAUACCGCGUGGGUGAAGAAGGCCUUCGGGUUGUAAAGCCCUUUUGUUGGGAAAGAAAAGCAGCAGGUUAAUACCCCGCUGUUCUGACGGUAACCAAAGAAUAAGCACCGGCUAACUUCGUG